rnacentral:rRNA from 1 species
AUUGAACGCUGGCGGCAUGCCUUACACAUGCAAGUCGAACGGCAGCACGGGGGCAACCCUGGUGGCGAGUGGCGAACGGGUGAGUAAUGCAUCGGAACGUGCCCAGUAGUGGGGGAUAACCCGGCGAAAGCCGGGCUAAUACCGCAUACGACCUAAGGGUGAAAGCGGGGGACCGUAAGGCCUCGCGCUAUUGGAGCGGCCGAUGUCUGAUUAGCUAGUUGGCGGGGUAAAAGCCCACCAAGGCGACGAUCAGUAGCUGGUCUGAGAGGACGACAAGCCACACUGGGACUGAGACACGGCGCAGCCUCCUACGGGAGGCAGCAGUGGGGAAUUUUGGACAAUGGGCGCAAGCCUGAUCCAGCCAUGCCGCGUGCGGGAAGAAGGCCUUCGGGUUGUAAACCGCUUUUGGCAGGAACGAAACGGCGCAAGCCAAUACCUUGCGCUAAUGACGGUACCUGCAGAAUAAGCACCGGCUAACUACGUGCCAGCCGCCGCCGUAACAC